AUGAUCCUCAACAAUAGGGCGGAGGAAUUUAAUUAUCGUUUCAUCGUUCGGGUAGACGAUUUUGAUUAUACCCUUUUUGCAACUUCCUCCGCCCUCAAGUGCUUUAACUGUAAUGAGGAGGGUCAUCUCGCCAGGGCUUGUCCGAGCCGCGUGGCCUCGGACGCGCAGGCGGCGGAGCCCGCCGCUACCGCGCCCGUGGCGCCUCCGGCCCCGCGGCCCGUUCCGGCGGCGAGGCGUCGGUGGCUCAGCGCGGAGGGAAGCUCCGCUGCCCCGGACGGAGCGACAGCAGAGUCGCAGAUGGAGGAGAAGCGGGACGAGUGUGUGCGUGAGAGUGAGGUGAGUGGAGAGAGUGAGAUUGUGGAGAUGGUGGUAGAAAUGAAUGGUGAGAGUGGUGAAUCAGGGGGGAAGGUGGAUUUAACUGGGGAGGUGUGUGAUCUGAGUGGUGUGAUGAGUGAGGUGGUGUGUGAUUCAAAUGAACUGGGGGGAAAAGGUGAGGUGAUGGGUGAAACAGUUGAACUGGGUGAGACAGGAGAGACUGGAGACAGGAUCCAGACGGGUGAGCAGGGUACAGUGGGUCAGGUGAUGGGUGGACUCGAUGGGCCAGGGAUAGUGGCUGGUGAACGGGGUGAAGGAGAAGUUAGCACAGGUGAGCGGGGUGAAGGAGCAGUGAGCACAGGGGAGCAAGGUGAGGGAGCAGUGAGCACAGGUGAGCGGGGUGAGGGAGGAGUGAGCACAGGUGAGCGGGGUGAGGGAGAAGUGAGCACAGGUGAGCGUGGUGAGGAAGCAGUGAGUGCAGGUGAGGGCACGAGUGGCGCACCCGAGUGGUGGCUUGUUCCCGCAAGGAAGCGGAACAAGCGGAAAAGCGCCAUGAAGGACAAGGGGGGCAAGACAGGAAGGCUGGAGGAGACAGUAGCAGACACAGACACCAGCGACUGCGAGUCGAUGUCGGACGGCAGCGAACUGUCAGGCACAACGCCAGACGGGCAGGAUUUUGACCUGUACCCCCCAGGCUUGUUUAAAAAGUUCCUCACCCAGACCAAGGGCAUGAAAGGCCUUGAUCUGGGAACAUAUUUUCCUGACCGGCUCUGCUUUAUCCGGUCAGCGAGCUUUUUAAUUAGGAAUAAGGCAACGUCAGGCCUCACCGACCCCGAAAUAUAUAGACUCAGGAAGCACAUGGGCAAAGCAAGAAAACAGCUAAAUUGA
rnacentral:lncRNA from 1 species